CUCUUCUUUUGCACCCUGUGAAACUCUCAAAACAAAGGGGGACGGGGGAAGGGGGAAGGGUGCAGAUGAUCAGGGGAGGCUUGGGGGCACCUUGCCUGGUAGGGAAACCACGUGCCUUGCGCCCCUCCUGGGCAACAGCACACUGCCCGCCUGUGACUCCCAAGCCUCCCCCGAUCUCCUGCCCCCUUCCCCCUUUGUUUUGAGAGUUUCACAGGGUGCAAAAGAAGA